AUGGCUUCUCGGUCUUUUGGCUAAGAUCAAGUGUAGUCUCUGUUCUUAUCAGUUUAAUAAUUACGUGGAAAUGCAAAGGACCCAAAGUAGCCCAAACAAUUUUGAAAACAAAACAAACAGAAACAAAGUUGGAGGAUUACACUUUAUCACUGCAAAACUUACCAUAA
rnacentral:snRNA from 1 species